UUUAAAGCUCAGUCUUUUUGACCGGAGAAUUUUUGACGUUCAAAUCGUUUGCGUUUUUUUUUUUUUAAUGUGCACAGAUUAUAAUUUAUGUGUCAUUGUAACUUUUUUUAACAAAAUCGAUGAGUGUAUGUUACAAAAACUACGAAAUUUUAGUAGUUAUUUAAUAAAAUUUUCAAAGAAAUUUUCUAAUUGGCCUAACGGGUAACCCGGUGAUGCUAGUAGCGAACAGAACAAAAUUCAAGGUCGGCCAGCAAAGCGAGUCUUGAGUAGCAGCCUACGAAAAUUGAUACUAUUCAGGUCAACAUAGUCAGACGAUGCCACGACUUACUUGUUGGAAAAUAGGUACUACUGCCGACGGACGUCGAAAAAUGCAGGAGCACAACCAAGCCACAACCUGCUCCUAAGGUUUCUAGCAGCCUUUGAAGACAAUCAUGUCACCUUUACUAAAAAUUUCACCAAUACUUUACAAAAAAUAUCAAUCCUGCCCAUCCAAUAAAUAUCUCGCAGCGACACACAAUAACAAUCUUGUCAUACACAUGCAAAUACCUUGAAGAUUCUAUGUCGUUGCCGAUAAUUGAAGCAAAUUAACAAUGUACCUUUCAAAUCCUUACCAAGUUUGUUUAUUGGUUCAAGAAAUUGUAAGAAAUAUGAUUGAUCAAAUUUAUUUAUUUCUGUGGCUGUACCUCAUUAAAAGGCCCUCCUAGAGAAA